AGUGGGUGGAGCCUCAACCCUAUAGGGUAGAAGUCAGUUGGUCCUACCAAAGCGGAAGACGGUACCCUCUAGGAAGUGGGUGGGGCCUCAACCCUAUAGGGUAGAAGUCGGAUGGUCCAACCAAAGCGGAAGACGGUAACAUCUCAGAAGGUAUGACGAGACUCAACCUUUGUUUGUUUGUGGAAGAAUGGGUCAUUGGCCACCAACAUGCUCACAGAACUUCAUUACUAGACGUUCUAUUAAUGGAUGCUUCAUGCCACCCGGAGAAACCACAUUGCCAAAAGGAGCACAAAUACCGCCCACCCAAAGAGGGAGCACUCAUGUCAAGACAAUUGGUUAGGGAAGUGUCUCAAGAGGGUUGUUAUUAUUAUAAACCUUCAGGCUGUCUGAGAAAUACCGGCAGUAUUCCAGUGUCAAGUAACCUACUGUAGCUGAAGCAACUUUUAUCAGCUCGAGGAGUUGCAGUUGCUCAAAUGCAAAUUGUAUCCCGAGACACAGGGUUAGUAGAACGGAGAAAAUGUGAACCCAACGGCUAGAGUAAGGGUGAAGGUGAUUGCAUUAUUGUUAUUUUUCUGUCUUGCCUCUUGGUGAGGGCGGUCGCAUUUUUCUCCGCUUCCUCCUUCCCUGCUUGCUCUCUGUUUCCUUGUCUUUGUCUGAACUUUUCUGAAGCCUCUUUCUUUGCGCUGUCCUCUAAUCUAAACAUCAAAUAUGAAUAUGAUCAGCUAGACUCUCGACGCAAUUGACACAGUCUUUUCGACAAGAAAAAGAGGUUCGGGGGGGCCAGGCUGCCCUGAUGGAACCAUUGCUGCGGGGUACAUGAGAGACUCCUGGGAUAAAUGGAGAAUCAUGUGCCUCUCAGUCCUUUCCAUCGAGGACGUGGAAGACAUCUACCUAUUUGAAACUGUGAUCGCGGGGCACCUGCUGAUUGGGCUGGGCAUUGCUCUGGUGUUUCGUCAAAUUCGGAACACAAUGGCAGCCAGUUAAGGGAUUGGGUUGGGCUGUGGGAACACAGACUGGAACGAUUUCUGAUUUGAAUCGCAAAAUGGAUCUCAUCUUGGAAAAGCUUGCUGAGAAGGAAUAAUUAAAUUGGAAUUGGAGAAUCCAGCACGGACACACAGAGAAAGCAAGUCACUGUUUAGUAUUCUUGAAGAAAGACAACAUCUUAAUCUACAUUUUGACUCCCUCGAAUGGCCUUGAUGCAAUCAGGAACAGGCUGUCCUUUUUUUCAACAACACCUGGUGUCGAACUUGAGAUCGGCCCCAGUCCACAAAAACAUUCAACAUCUCACCCGAGUUAAUUGGGCAUACAUGCGCGCACACGCCCUUCCCCGAAUCAACGCCUUCACCACCGCUUAAUUCCUCUGGGGUUGUGGAUGGCUGAUUAGCGCUCAAUAGCGGCAGCCGGCCUCCAGGCUGUGAUCGCGGGGCACCUGCUGAUUGGGCUGGGCAUUGCUCUGGUGUUUCGUCAAAUUCGUAAGACGAUGGCAGCCACUCAAGGGGCCCAACGGCUGUUCAACGCAAUGGAAGGAUUGGGUUGGGCUGUGGGAACACAGACUGGAACGAUUUCUGAUUUGAAUCGCAAAAUGGAUCUCAUUUUGCAAAAGCUUGCUGAGAAGGAAUAAUUAAAUUGGAAUUGGAGAAUCCAGCACGGACACACAGAGAAAGCAAGUCACUGUUUAGUAUUCUUGAAGAGAGACAACAUCUUAAUCUACAAUUUGACUCCCUCAAAUGGCCUUGAUGCAAUCAGGAACAGGCUGUUCUGAAGAACUCCCCCGAGGAUUCCUCAAAGAUGGACGCUUUUGACCGUCCUUUUUUUCAACAACACCUGGUGUCGAACUUGAGAUCGGCCCCAGUCCACAAAAACAUUCAACAUCUCACCCGAGUUAAUUGGGCAUACAUGCACGCACACGCCCCUCCCCGAAUCAACGCCUUCACCACCGCUUAAUUCCUCUGGGGUUGUGGAUGGCUGAUUAGCGCUCAAUAGCGGCAGCCGGCCUCCAGGGCCUCAACCCCCCCACUCUUUUGCAAGUUGGUGUAAUUAUAUGUACCAUGUUUAUGUGUGCCAUGCUAUGUGAGUUUUUUUCCUUGGACUCAGUCUGGAAUCCUCCUGAGGGUCGAGCCUUAGACUGACAUUUUUUUUGUUACUCUUCCCCCCUCUCCCAAUGUCACCUUUUCUCACCUUUUUAAGGAGUGCCGUAAGUGGCUGAUCCAUUGGCGGUCUCGUCUUGUCCCCCCCUGUAACGUACUGUAUGUCUGCUCUUAACGGGACUGUGCCGAAAAUGACAUUUCAGUUCUUGUGUGUCUUGUACAUGUUAAGAAUGGACAAAAUAAAACUGUUGUCUGUCAUUAUUGCUAUGAUGAAAAUGCAAUAGAUAA